UGGAGAUAUGCAAUAAUUAAUCUGACAACGCAGCAAAGGGACCAUCCCUCCUGCACUUGUGCCCUUGAGAUUUUUUACGACUUUUGGGGCUAUGCGCUUCCCACGCAGCUGCGACUGCGCGGACCAGAUGACCAACCCCUCAUCUUGCCUUUGUCUUUAGUCAGUCCAGAUCCUUCUCUGUAGCUUAACGCCGUGUUCGUCUCAGUGCUGUAAAACUGAAUAAAUUCUAUUUCGGAAUUAUAUCAUAUCUUAUUAAUAUCAUAACCUUAAUUCCUUCAGGUUAUGGGCCGCAGCUUACGUGAUACGCGCAAAUAUCCGCGAUCGUGACCGCGUAUACGGAAAACGAGCAAAGUGUUCAUUUAAACUUGUGAAAAUUAAACGUGUGUGAUGAAAACGCGUAAGUGUACGAAUAUGGACCUAAACGUGUGUGAUGAAAACGCGUGAGUGCACGUAAAUGGAUUCUGCACGGAAUACGCGCGAAGACAUUUGAUUUUCAGUCGACGGAAAAUACAGUGUGUGAAAAUUCUAUUGCGCGCUGUGACAUUCGAACCUGAUAUUUUGUGUGUAAUCGAUAAUUUGAUAUUGCAACAAAGUUGAAUAUUUAAAAAAACAGUUAUGAUUUUUUUGCGCUAAAUCAUGCUUAUUUGCGCCAAGAGCUACUUAAACCGCAUUCAUGGUUCGUAGUUUGAAUGAUACCUAUCUCUGAUUAGAAGAUAGUGAAAAAGCUCAACUUCUGAUUGGAUUGAGGAGCGUCCAGAUAAAUCAGCACCAGAAAAAUUAGUUAUGCAAAACUUUCUUUGAGUUUGCUGAUCACAGUGGGCGGACACAAAUAUUCUUGGUGAAGGAUAACACGCAUUCCUAUCGCAAUGGCCACAAAAAUUGAGAAGAUACAAAGUACUGGAUGAACAUGUUUCAUGGACUCUGGUUUCAAAGGCAUUGUGGAAGACGUUUGGUUCUGCUAUGAUGUACCCUAUGACCUGUUAUCAAUACCGAAUUUUGGAAAGCUGGUCAUGCAGAACCCACUCAUCAGGAGUCAACGUUAAAAGGGAAGUACCGUUACCUUUUGUGGAAAUUUACUGGCCGAUAUGAUGAUCAAGCUGUUACCAGUCUUGGAGUUCAAUCAGUCGAGUUUUUGGACUUGGAGUAGAACUCAUAGUAACAGCAAGCACACGAUCUGGUGGAGGUUUUCCUGGGUUUCCCUUCAUCCAUGCAGCACCGAAUGGUGGAUCGUAAGCAUCACCCCAGAGUUGGCACUUGAGGACGAUUGCAGCACGGCAUCGCAGUUCAACAGAGCAACAUAGUCAAAUCAAGCAAGAAUCAGAUUAAUUCUUGAGGGGGCGUGUUGGAGAUAUGCAAUAAUUAAUCUGACAACGCAGCAAAGGGACCAUCCCUCCUGCACUUGUGCCCUUGAGAUUUUUUACGACUUUUGGGGCUAUGCGCUUCCCACGCAGCUGCGACUGCGCGGACCAGAUGACCAACCCCUCAUCUUGCCUUUGUCUUUAGUCAGUCCAGAUCCUUCUCUGUAGCUUAACGCCGUGUUCGUCUCAGUGCUGUAAAACUGAAUAAAUUCUAUUUCGGAAUUA